CAUGUGGUUUAAUUCGAUGCAACGCGAAGAACCUUACCAGGUCUUGACAUCCCCUGACAACCCGAGAGAUCGGGCGUUCCCCUUCGGGGGACAGGGUGACAGGUGGUGCAUGGUUGUCGUCAGCUCGUGUCGUGAGAUGUUGGGUUAAGUCCCGCAACGAGCGCAACCCUCGACCUUAGUUGCCAGCAUUCAGUUGGGCACUCUAAGGUGACUGCCGGCUAAAAGUCGGAGGAAGGUGGGGAUGACGUCAAAUCAUCGUGCCCCUUAUGACCUGGGCUACACACGUGCUACAAUGGGCGGUACAAAGGGUCGCGAACCCGCGAGGGGGAGCCAAUCCCAAAAAGCCGCUCUCAGUUCGGAUUGCAGGCUGCAACUCGCCUGCAUGAAGCCGGAAUCGCUAGUAAUCGCGGAUCAGCAUGCCGCGGUGAAUACGUUCCCGGGCCUU
rnacentral:rRNA from 1 species